AGUCUGGUGCCAGCAGCCGCGGUAAUUCCAGCUCCAAUAGCGUAUAUUAAAGUUGUUGCAGUUAAAAAGCUCGUAGUCGAAUUUUGGGGCUGAGGCGGGCGGUCUGCCGUUUCGGUAUGUACUGCCUCGCCUGGCUCUUUUUCCUGGGGAACUGUUGGGUCGUCGCAAGGCGGCGUGGCAGCAAGCCAGGGUGUUUACCUUGAAAAAAUUAGAGUGUUUAAAGCAGGCGCAAGCUUGAAUAUAUUAGCAUGGAAUAACUGAAUAGGACUUUGGUCUUAUUUUGUUGGUUUAAGAGACCAAGGUAAUGGUUAAUAGGAACAGUCGGGGACAUUUGAAUUGCUGAGCUAGAGGUGAAAUUCUUGGAUUUCAGCAAGUCAAACUAGGGCGAAAGCAUCUGUCAAGGAUGUUUUCAUUGAUCAAGAACGAAAGUUAAGGGAUCAAAGACGAUCAGAUACCGUCGUAGUCUUAACCGUAAACUAUGCCGACAGGAGAUUGGGCAAAGUUGCUUAUGACUUGCUCAGCAUCCCACCGAGAAAUCCAAGUUUCUGGGUUCUGGGGGGAGUAUGGUCGCAAGGCUGAAACUUAAAGGAAUUGACGGAAGGGCACCACCAGGAGUGGAGCCUGCGGCUUAAUUUGACCCAACACGGGAAAACUCACCAGGUCCAGACAUAGUAAGGACUGACAGAUUGAAGCUCUUUCUUGAUUCUAUGGUUGGUGGUGCAUGGCCGUUGCUAGUUCGUGGAGUGAUUUGUCUGGUUAAUUCCGAUAACGGACGAGACCGUAAUCUUUAAAUAGCGAGACGCAUUUUGAAUGGGCUGACCGCUUCUUAAAGAGACUCUAGACUCUUAGUCUAAUGAAGUACGGCUCUAACAGGUCUGUGAUGCCCUUAGAUGUUCUGGGCCGCACGCGCGCUACACUGACAGAGCCAGCGAGUCUACUCCUGGGCCGGAAGGCUCUGGGAAAUCUUGCAAAUUCUGUCGUGAUGGGGAUAGUUCAUUGCAAUUAUUGAACUUGAACGAGGAAUUCCUAGUAAGCGCAAGUCAUCAGCUUGCGUUGAUUACGUCCCUGCCCUUUGUACACACCGCCCGUCGCUACUUCUGAUUGAAUGGUUUAGUGAGGACUUUGGAUUGCUGGUUUGCUGCUGGCAACGGCUGCGGACUAGUGAGAAGCUGUCCAAACUUGGUCAUUUAGAGGAAGUAAAAGUCGUAACAAGGUUUCCGUAGGUGUACCUGCGGAAG
rnacentral:rRNA from 1 species